AGUGAACGCUGGCGGUAGGCCUAACACAUGCAAGUCGAACGGCAGCACAGUAAGAGCUUGCUCUUACGGGUGGCGAGUGGCGGACGGGUGAGGAAUACAUCGGAAUCUACUUUUUCGUGGGGGAUAACGUAGGGAAACUUACGCUAAUACCGCAUGCGACCUACGGGUGAAAGCAGGGGAUCUUCAGACCUUGCGCGAUUGAAUGAGCCGAUGUCGGAUUAGCUAGUUGGCGGGGUAAAGGCCCACCAAGGCGACGAUCCGUAGCUGGUCUGAGAGGAUGAUCAGCCACACUGGAACUGAGACACGGUCCAGACUCCUACGGGAGGCAGCAGUGGGGAAUAUUGGACAAUGGGCGCAAGCCUGAUCCAGCCAUACCGCGUGGGUGAAGAAGGCCUUCGGGUUGUAAAGCCCUUUUGUUGGGAAAGAAAAGCAGCAGGUUAAUACCCCGCUGUUCUGACGGUACCCAAAGAAUAAGCACCGGCUAACUUCGU
rnacentral:rRNA from 1 species